UACGUAGGGUGCGAACGUUAAUCGGAAUUACUGGGCGUAAAGUGUGCGCAGGCGGCCGCGCAAGUCGAGUGUGAAAGCCCCGAGCUUAACUUGGGAAUUGCGCUCGAAACUACGUGGCUGGAGUGUGGCAGAGGAAGGUGGAAUUCCACGUGUAGCGGUGAAAUGCGUAGAGAUGUGGAGGAACACCAAUGGCGAAGGCAGCCUUCUGGGCCAACACUGACGCUCAUGCACGAAAGCGUGGGGAGCAAACAGG
rnacentral:rRNA from 1 species